UUACCAUUUCCAUCGAUGUGUCGUCGUCAAUCAGCAACUAACAACGGGACACCCAGCAAUAGUACGAUUGAAUCUCAAUAGCAGCCCAAGAUGGUCAACAAACAUGCUGGUACCAUUCGUGAGCACAAAGCAACUGUUACCUAUAUAACUAUAUGUGGUACACUUCUUAAAACCCAUAACUUGCCAUUCAUUUGAAAAUGUUGAUGUACUAGAUCUAUUGCUGUAGAAUAAUAAUAAUAUACGUC